rnacentral:rRNA from 1 species
UAAUGGGUCAGCGACUUAUAUUCUGUAGCAAGGUUAACCGAAUAGGGGAGCCGAAGGGAAACCGAGUCUUAACUGGGCGUUAAGUUGCAGGGUAUAGACCCGAAACCCGGUGAUCUAGCCAUGGGCAGGUUGAAGGUUGGGUAACACUAACUGGAGGACCGAACCGACUAAUGUUGAAAAAUUAGCGGAUGACUUGUGGCUGGGGGUGAAAGGCCAAUCAAACCGGGAGAUAGCUGGUUCUCCCCGAAAGCUAUUUAGGUAGCGCCUCGUGAAUUCAUCUCCGGGGGUAGAGCACUGUUUCGGCAAGGGGGUCAUCCCGACUUACCAACCCGAUGCAAACUGCGAAUACCGGAGAAUGUUAUCACGGGAGACACACGGCGGGUGCUAACGUCCGUCGUGAAGAGGGAAACAACCCAGACCGCCAGCUAAGGUCCCAAAGUCAUGGUUAAGUGGGAAACGAUGUGGGAAGGCCCAGACAGCCAGGAUGUUGGCUUAGAAGCAGCCAUCAUUUAAAGAAAGCGUAAUAGCUCACUGGUCGAGUCGGCCUGCGCGGAAGAUGUAACGGGGCUAAACCAUGCACCGAAGCUGCGGCAGCGACACUAUGUGUUGUUGGGUAGGGGAGCGUUCUGUAAGCCUGUGAAGGUGGCCUGUGAGGGUUGCUGGAGGUAUCAGAAGUGCGAAUGCUGACAUAAGUAACGAUAAAGCGGGUGAAAAGCCCGCUCGCCGGAAGACCAAGGGUUCCUGUCCAACGUUAAUCGGGGCAGGGUGAGUCGACCCCUAAGGCGAGGCCGAAAGGCGUAGUCGAUGGGAAACAGGUUAAUAUUCCU